CAGCCGCCACGGUAAUACGUAGGGUGCAAGCGUUAAUCGGAAUUACCGGGCGUAAAGCGUGCGCAGGCGGUUUGUUAAGACAGAUGUGAAAUCCCCGGGCUCAACCUGGGAACUGCAUUUGUGACUGGCAGGUUAGAGUAUGGCAGAGGGGGGUGGAAUUCCGCGUGUAGCAGUGAAAUGCGUAGAUAUGCGGAGGAACACCGAUGGCGAAGGCAAUCCCCUGGGCCUGUACUGACGCUCAUGCACGAAAGCGUGGGGAGCAAACAGGAUUAGAUACCCCAGUAGUCCCUGUCUCUUAUAC
rnacentral:rRNA from 1 species